AUUGAACGCUGGCGGCAGGCCUAACACAUGCAAGUCGAGCGGAUGAGAAGAGCUUGCUCUUCGAUUCAGCGGCGGACGGGUGAGUAAUGCCUAGGAAUCUGCCUGGUAGUGGGGGACAACGUUUCGAAAGGAACGCUAAUACCGCAUACGUCCUACGGGAGAAAGCAGGGGACCUUCGGGCCUUGCGCUAUCAGAUGAGCCUAGGUCGGAUUAGCUAGUUGGUGAGGUAAUGGCUCACCGAGGCGACGAUCCGUAACUGGUCUGAGAGGAUGAGCAGUCACACUGGAACUGAGACAAGGUCCAGACUCCUACGGGAGGCAGCAGUGGGGAAUAUUGGACAAUGGGCGAAAGCCUGAUCCAGCCAUGCCGCGUGUGUGAAGAAGGUCUUCGGAUUGUAAAGCACUUUAAGUUGGGAGGAAGGGCAGUAAGAUAAUACCUUGCUGUUUUGACGUUACCGACAGAAUAAGCACCGGCUAACUCUGUGCCAGCCGCCGCCGCAGUAA
rnacentral:rRNA from 1 species